GACGAACGCUGGCGGCGUGCUUAACACAUGCAAGUCGAACGGAAAGGCCCUGCUUUUGUGGGGUGCUCGAGUGGCGAACGGGUGAGUAACACGUGAGUAACCUGCCCUUGACUUUGGGAUAACUUCAGGAAACUGGGGCUAAUACCGGAUAGGAGCUCCUGCUGCAUGGUGGGGGUUGGAAAGUUUCGGCGGUUGGGGAUGGACUCGCGGCUUAUCAGCUUGUUGGUGGGGUAGUGGCUUACCAAGGCUUUGACGGGUAGCCGCCCUGAGAGGGUGACCGGCCCCAUGGGGCUGGAGAUAGGGCCAGGCCCCCACGGGGGGGCAUCGGGGGGAAUGAUUGCACAAUGGGCGGAGGCUUGAUGCAGAACCUCCGUGUGGGGAAGGCCGGCUUUCGGUUAGGAAUCCGUUUCCGCGUGGAACGAAGCGUGGGGGAGGGUAAUGGAUAAAAAAGCACGGGCUAAUUACGUG
rnacentral:rRNA from 1 species